AUGGUGUCCCCGAAUUCAACAAACCAAGCCCGUCUCCAACAGCUAAAGGACUUUGACGAAUCAAAAGCUGGUGUCAAAGGGAUCGUUGACAAAGGCAUCACAAAAAUCCCAUCAAUUUUUGUCCGGUCACCGGAAUAUUCCGCCGCCGGCGACCCAAGUUCCAGCCAACCAACCCGAACCCAGUUCAGUAUCCCUAUCGUGGAUCUCGCUAACACUACCGGCCUGCAUGAUGACGUGGUCGCUGGAGUCCGGCAGGCAGCUGAGACUGUCGGGUUCUUCCAGGUGAUGAACCAUGGGAUACCCAAGAGAGUGUUGGAGGAGAUGUUGGCGGCGGCGCGUGGGUUUCACGAGCUGCUGACGGAGGUGAAGGCUGAGUACUAUAGUAGGGAGCAGAUGAGGAAGGUCAAGUUCAGGAGUAACUUUGAUUUGUAUCAGACAAAGUUUGCUAGUUGAAGGGACAGUUUGUUUUGUGUCAUGGGUCCUGAACCUCUUGAUCCUCAAGAAUUGCCUGACGUUUGCAGAGACGCAACCAUGGAGUACUCAGACCAUGUUCACAAAUUAGGUGUCACAUUGUUUGAAUUGCUAUCUGAGGCACUUGGGCUGAAAUCGGACCACCUUUUAGGCUUGGAUUGUGCAAAGGGGCAUGUAAUUCUUAGCCACUACUAUCCGCCAUGCCCCGAGCCUGAACUGACUAUGGGAACUACCACACUCAGAUCCUUCUUUUCUCACCAUACUACUUCAGGACCAAAUUGGUGGCCUCCAGGUUCUGUAUGAAAACCAGUGGGUUGAUGUUCCUCCUGUUCCUGGAGCUCUAGUUGUGAACAUUGGAGAUCUCUUGCAGCUUGUAUCCAAUGACAGGUUUAAGAGUGUGGAGCAUCAAGUGCUUGCUAACCAUGCAGGACCAAGAGUAUCUGUUGCUUGUUUUUUCACCCUGAAUCUUUACCCAGCAACAAGGUUGUACGGCCCCAUAAAGGAAUUGUUGUCCGAAGAUCAUCCGCCUCUAUACCGGGAAACCUCACUGCAAAACUUCAGUGCUCACUACGACGGAAAAGGGCUUGAUGGGAACUCUGCACUAACACGUUUCAAGUGGCAGAGGCAACAAUGAAAUAAGUCACUUGUGCUGUAGAUUAGUGGCUGUGAACAUAUGUUAAGAGUUCCUUCAAGUGGCAAAGGUCACAAUGAAAUAAGGCACCUAUACCAUAUGCCUAAACUUUGCAUUAUGUUACAAACAAACCACUUAUGUUUGAUAAUGCAAUGCCCCAAUUGAUGCUUGUAGUUUGUAAAGGCUGAAGCAGAUUUGCUUGCACAAAUGGAUCACCAUUUUAAUCUUUUGCACAAUUUUGCUCACUAAAGUCUGUGGCACUCUCUCUCUAUCUCUUUCUCUCGCAUCUUCUUCUUCAUCUGUAAAACACCCCUUUUCUGCAA